GUGUGAUCUGGACUCACUGCAGCCUCGACCUGUUGGGCUCAAGUGAUCCUCUCACGUCAGCCUCCAAGUAGCCAAGACCACAGGCAGGCGUCACCAUGCCCAGCCCCCAUGAUGACUUUACUUUUCUUCUUGAACCUGCUGUCUAUGAGCUUCAUCAAAUGGGCAGGACCACUUUCCCUUAACUUCUCCUUUUCUGGAACAACGGACAUAUCCUGUGGAUUAUCUG
rnacentral:lncRNA from 10 species